AACGAACGCUGGCGGCAGGCCUAACACAUGCAAGUCGAACGCUCCAGCAAUGGAGAGUGGCAGACGGGUGAGUAACGCGUGGGAACCUUCCCUAUGGUUCGGAAUAGCUCAGGGAAACUUGAGGUAAUACCGGAUAAGCCCUUCGGGGAAAGGAUUAUCGCCAUUGGAUGGGCCCGCGUAGGAUUAGCUAGUUGGUGAGGUAACGGCUCACCAAGGCGACGAUCCUUAGCUGGUCUGAGAGGAUGAUCAGCCACACUGGGACUGAGACACGGCCCAGACUCCUACGGGAGGCAGCAGUGGGGAAGUAUUGGACAAUAGGGGGCGAACCCUGAUCCAGCAAUGCCGCGUGAGUGAUGAAGGCCUUCGGUUGUAAAG
rnacentral:rRNA from 1 species